GGGGGCAUAGCUCACUGGUAGAGCAUUCGACUGCAGAUCGAGAGGUCACGGUUCAAACCCGGGUGGCCCCU
rnacentral:tRNA from 1 species